AACGCAUACGGCACCCGAGGCCUCGGCCGAGGGUAUGUCUGCCUCAGAGUCGGCGUAACACAACACCCCCGUGGUCGCCACACCUCCCAGCGGGGGGGCGGUCGCGGGCGGGAACUGGCGGUCCUUCCCGGGAGCCGGCUUCCUCGCGAGAGUGAGCCGGGCCGGGUCCGCCGAAGGAGAGAAACGGGGCGACCCGGGGGACACACGACCCGUCGGGACGGCGCGAUUUGGUGGUUCAUCGUCGCGCUUCCGGGGUCGGUCCCCCGCGGACUUCGCACCGACGCGAAACACUGAGGGAACGGGAGCACGGGCAGGCAGGUACUACUCGUAGUCCUCCUAUCCGUACCCUUCCCCGCACGACCUUCGACCUGAGUUCAGGCAAGAUCACCCGCUGAACUUAA
rnacentral:misc_RNA from 1 species